UCAACAGUGUAGCGCAGCUAGGUCGGCGGACGCGGCUCACCCGCGCCGUCAUCGGUUCAAAUCCGAUCCGUUUAACCA
rnacentral:tRNA from 1 species